GCGUGGCGGCUGCUAUACUGCAAGUCGAACGAACUCUGGUAUUGAUUGGUGCUUGCAUCAUGAUUUACAUUUGAGUGAGUGGCGAACUGGUGAGUAACACGUGGGAAACCUGCCCAGAAGCGGGGGAUAACACCUGGAAACAGAUGCUAAUACCGCAUAACAACUUGGACCGCAUGGUCCGAGUUUGAAAGAUGGCUUCGGCUAUCACUUUUGGAUGGUCCCGCGGCGUAUUAGCUAGAUGGUGAGGUAACGGCUCACCAUGGCAAUGAUACGUAGCCGACCUGAGAGGGUAAUCGGCCACAUUGGGACUGAGACACGGCCCAAACUCCUACGGGAGGCAGCAGUAGGGAAUCUUCCACAAUGGACGAAAGUCUGAUGGAGCAACGCCGCGUGAGUGAAGAAGGGUUUCGGCUCGUAAAACUCUGUUGUUAAAGAAGAACAUAUCUGAGAGUAACUGUUCAGGUAUUGACGGUAUUUAACCAGAAAGCCACGGCUAACUACGUGCCAGCAGCCGCGGUAAUACGUAGGUGGCAAGCGUUGUCCGGAUUUAUUGGGCGUAAAGCGAGCGCAGGCGGUUUUUUAAGUCUGAUGUGAAAGCCUUCGGCUCAACCGAAGAAGUGCAUCGGAAACUGGGAAACUUGAGUGCAGAAGAGGACAGUGGAACUCCAUGUGUAGCGGUGAAAUGCGUAGAUAUAUGGAAGAACACCAGUGGCGAAGGCGGCUGUCUGGUCUGUAACUGACGCUGAGGCUCGAAAGUAUGGGUAGCAAACAGGAUUAGAUACCCUGGUAGUCCAUACCGUAAACGAUGAAUGCUAAGUGUUGGAGGGUUUCCGCCCUUCAGUGCUGCAGCUAACGCAUUAAGCAUUCCGCCUGGGGAGUACGGCCGCAAGGCUGAAACUCAAAGGAAUUGACGGGGGCCCGCACAAGCGGUGGAGCAUGUGGUUUAAUU
rnacentral:rRNA from 1 species